rnacentral:rRNA from 1 species
UUGAAAGGGAAACGAUUGAAGUCAGUCAUGCCGGUGGGAAUCAACUUAGGGGAAACUCUAGGUGCACUUCUUCGCUUGGCAGGUCAACGUCGAUUUUGAAUGUCAUAAAAUAAUUGGGGGAAGGUAGCUCCUUCGGGAGUGUUAUAGCCCUUGAUAGAUGUGAUGUUUGAGGUCGAGGAUUGCAACGGAUACCCUUUGGGGCUAGCUGCCUGAUCUCUAAUUGGUGUUGGGUUACGGAUAGCAUGCUGACCGUUUUCUAAUUACUGGUUAAAAGGUUAGAGUGUGCAUAAAUUCGUUAAGGAUGUUGACGUA